AAGAUUUUAAGUUAUCCUUAAAACUUUAAACCUUCAAAGUUUAAUAAAUAAUUUUCUUAUAAAUCUUA
rnacentral:tRNA from 1 species